UCUUCUUUGCUGUACUCUAAGCAUCCCCCUGGCUCCCUGGAAUCCCCAGAGGCAGCAGAAUUGUCUGUCCUUCCCACCCAUCUACCUCCCUGCCAGCCAAACAGGGCUGAAGAGGACUCUCAGCCAGCUCUUCCUCCACACCUCUGUCCAGGCUGUUUCCUUUUCCCUCUUGCCCUGUCUACACCACCACCCAGCUCCUAUUCAUCCCACCUAGAAGCCUUCAGAGAUGGUACCCAGCAUCACCUGUGGGCCCCGCGGCUGGUCCUCAUCAUUUCACACUCCCCCAUCCCUCUUGUCAUCAUUUGGUUCUCUGGUCCUUAGUUCCUGUUUCAUAGAUGAAGGAACUGAAGUUCCGAGAGAGGGGGAAGGUUCUCAAGGUCACAGGCAAGGUCAGUGGCAGUGCCAGGAUUCAAACCUAGGCCUGUCUGAUUCCAGACUUCUUAACCUCAGACCGGUACAGCUGCUGGCUUAGGAGGGUGAAGUCGGCCCAACACAAGGGUUUGGGUGCAGGCCAUUUAUUUAGGAGACGAUCCCAGAAACAUCACUAGGGAGUGAGGAAGUGAGGCAAGGAAGGGGGUGAGUAGGUUGCCGCUGUGGGCUCAGCCCCCAGGAACCUGGGGGAGAAGGGGCAGAGCUGCCUUAGUGUUGCCCCACCCCAGGGUGAGGAAGCUGGGUUUUUACACAUCAGUUCCCCCUCUGCUGGAGAGGCUCUCACUCUCCUGCAGCCAGAGGAAGCCCUCGGGCAGAGAGACUCAGGACAGCGGCCACAGGAGCCCAGAUGCAGUCUCAGAACCCUGCUCAACACCGCUCUCGAACCACUGCCAAUCCAAGCACCUGAGGCCUGAAUAAGGACGGAAGGAUAUGCCUGACCAGAUGCCUGACCCUGACCUCCAAGAUCUGGACUUCUGGCCCCUUCCCCUUUUAAGCCCAUAUCCUACUUCUCUCCCCAUCACUCAUGCACCCCAGGAAUUCCAAGCUUCUUAAAUAGGUCAACCUGAUUCUCACCUCCAAGCCUUUGCCCUUGCUGUUCCCCCCCACCUACAGCCCUGUUUCCCUAUAGUUUCCUUUGGUGGAUGCAUCUCAUUAAUUAGUCGUCAAUAAAUGCCAACCUCCUCCCAGAGCCUGCUGCCCACAUGCGCCACCCCAGAUGCCUGCCCCGUCACCCUCCACUGCACCCCUCUGGUUAUGUUUUUGCAGCACCUAUCCAUGUCUGGAAGUAUCUACUGAUUUGUUUACUUGUCUGUCUGUCUCCAUCACCAGCAUGCCAGCUUCAUGAGGGCAAGCACUGUGCCCAACCUGGUCACCUGCUGUGUGCCCAGCACCUUCCACACAGCAGGUGCGCAAUAUAUGUUUGUUGAAAUAGACUGAAAUGGCAUAAACCACCAAGGGGAAUUCUCACUGGGAUCUUCCAAGUCCCCAUUUGCUGCCCCUCUCUGAGAAUGACAGGUUGGUCCCCCUCUAGUGCCAUCCCCCAAACAGUAUAGAGUUCUGGGGAAAAUUCUGAUUUCAGUGGGAAUACGAUUGAUUAUUGAUGUCUGCCACAGACCAGGCAGGGCAUUGGCAGGCAUUUGCAUCUGGUCUGUUCAUUGCUAUCUCCGCAAUACCCAGAACAACGCCUGGAACAUAGUGUUCAACAUAUAUCUGUUGAAAGUCAAAUACAUGGGUUCUUUGUC